CCUACGGGCGGCAGCAGUGGGGAAUAUUGCACAAUGGGCGCAAACCUGAUGCAGCCAUGCCGCGUGUGUGAAGAAGGCCUUCGGGUUGUAAAGCACUUUCAGCGGGGAGGAAGGCGGUGAGGUUAAUAACCUCAUCGAUUGACGUUACCCGCAGAAGAAGCACCGGCUAACUCCGUGCCAGCAGCCGCGGUAAUACGGAGGGUGCAAGCGUUAAUCGGAAUUACUGGGCGUAAAGCGCACGCAGGCGGUCUGUCAAGUCGGAUGUGAAAUCCCCGGGCUCAACCUGGGAACUGCAUUCGAAACUGGCAGGCUAGAGUCUUGUAGAGGGGGGUAGAAUUCCAGGUGUAGCGGUGAAAUGCGUAGAGAUCUGGAGGAAUACCGGUGGCGAAGGCGGCCCCCUGGACAAAGACUGACGCUCAGGUGCGAAAGCGUGGGGAGCAAACAGGAUUAGAUACCCCUGUAGUC
rnacentral:rRNA from 1 species